AUUGAACGCUGGCGGCAGGCCUAACACAUGCAAGUCGAGCGGUAGCACAGAGAGCUUGCUCUCGGGUGACGAGCGGCGGACGGGUGUGUAAUGUCUGGGACACUGCCUGAUGGUGGGGGAUCACUACUGGAAACGGUAGCUAAUACCGCAUAACGUGGCAAGACCCAAGAGGGGGACCUCCGUGCCUCUUGCCAUCGGAUGCGCCCAGAUGGGAUUAGCUAGUAGGUGGGGUAACGGCUCACCUAGGCGACGAUCCCGAGAUGGUCUGAGAGGAUGACCAGCCACACUGGAACUGAGACACGGUCCAGACUCCUACGGGAGGCAGCAGUGGGGAAUAUUGCACAAUGGGCGCAAGCCUGAUGCAGCCAUGCCGCGUGUAUGAAGAAGGCCUUCGGGUUGUAAAGUACUUUCAGCGGGGAGGAAGGGAGUAAAGUUAAUCACUUUGCUCAUUGACGUUACCCGCAGAAGAAGCACCGGCUAACUCCGUGCCAGCCGCCGCGGUAA
rnacentral:rRNA from 1 species